GAUGAACGCUGGCGGCGUGCCUAAUACAUGCAAGUCGAGCGGUAACACUUCGGGUGACGAGCGGCGGACGGCUGAGUAACGCGUAGGAAUGUACCCCAGAGUGAGGGAUAAGCACCGGAAACGGUGUCUAAUACCGCAUAACCUCUUCGGAGAAAAGCUUCGGCGCUUUGGGAGCGGCCUGCGUAUGAUUAGCUUGUUGGUGAGGUAAAAGCUCACCAAGGCUAUGAUCAUUAGCUGGUCUGAGAGGAUGAUCAGCCAGACUGGGACUGAGACACGGCCCAGACUCCUACGGGAGGCAGCAGUAGGGAAUUUUCCACAAUGGACGAAAGUCUGAUGGAGCAACGCCGCGUGCAGGAUGAAGGCCUUCGGGUUGUAAACUGCUUUUAUCUGUGAAGAUUAUGACGGUAGCAGAUGAAUAAGGAUCGGCUAACUCCGUGCCAGCCGCCGCAGUAA
rnacentral:rRNA from 1 species